rnacentral:rRNA from 1 species
GAUGAACGCUGGCGGCGUGCCUAAUACAUGCAAGUCGAGCGAACGGACGAGAAGCUUGCUUCUCUGAUGUUAGCGGCGGACGGGUGAGUAACACGUGGAUAACCUACCUAUAAGACUGGGAUAACUUCGGGAAACCGGAGCUAAUACCGGAUAAUAUUUUGAACCGCAUGGUUCAAAAGUGAAAGACGGUCUUGCUGUCACUUAUAGAUGGAUCCGCGCUGCAUUAGCUAGUUGGUAAGGUAACGGCUUACCAAGGCAACGAUGCAUAGCCGACCUGAGAGGGGGAACGGCCCCACAGAAACUGACAACCGACCCAGACUCCUACGGGGGGCAGCAGAAGGGAACUUUCCGGAAUGGGCGAAAGCAUGCAGGGGGAACGCCGCGUAGGGGAUGAAGGUUUUCGGAUUAAAAAACUUUUUUAUUGGGGAAGAACAUUUGUAUAAGUAACUGUGCACAUUUUGCCGGUCCCUACGCAAAAAGCCACGGCAAACUCGGG